UGAUGUUAACAGAGAUUCUUAUGUAAGUCUACAUGCUUGAGUAUUCAGGUAAGUCCGAUCAUCUUGCUUGUGGAGUGUACAAACCGGAAGUAGAGGAUUCGGUCUCCUUAUCUCUUGGCCUAGGCUCAAAAGGACUUUAAAGCACUAAUGACGGAGCAAUGCUGCCCACAUAUGAGGUUCAAGGACAAAUCCUUUCAAAGGAGGAGAGGAUGAUUAGAAUCGUCUAGGGGUGCCAAGUUAUUAUUAAUAUUUUCUUUAUUAAGUUAAGUCUAGUUUUAUUGUUUCCAAAUUUAUCCUUUCUAGACAUGUUAAAUAAGGGUAAUUUUGUCAUUUUGUUAAA